GCCCAGUGCGGGUGACCGUGAGGAUAGUGCCACAGAAACAUACCGCCUGGAAUGGAGAAGGGGAAAAAUCUCCCUACUAGGUAAGGGUGCAAAGGUGCGGUAAGAGCGCACCAGCAGCAUCGAGAGGUGCUGGCUCGGUAAACCCCGGUUGGGAGCAAGGUCAAAGGAACUAUGGUUGGUCUUUUACCAGUUCCGUACAAUAGAGCCGCUUGAGGCGUUUUGGUAACAGGCGUCCCAGAUAGAUAACCACCCUCUUGGUUGGUAACAGCCAGGAGAACAGAAUCCGGCUUACUACCGACUCUCUCCU
rnacentral:RNase_P_RNA from 1 species